rnacentral:pre_miRNA from 1 species
UGUUAAUUUUUUUUAUUUUUACUGUUAAAAACUUGCAUUACUGACAGAAUAGCCAAAUAAUUACACAUGGCAUGUCUCGUGUACCUCAUUCGAAGGAACAAGGGCCAAUUUUUAAUUAACAAUAGAAAUUGAUAAAAUUUUUAACA